rnacentral:misc_RNA from 1 species
AAUCCGGUCCAGUGGAGAGGCUUCAGUGUGCACAGCAGUAAAUCAGCCAUGCGUGACCUUAAUGGUCAGAAAUCAGUGAAUUGUGCCAGAUUAAUCAAAACAUUUAUAUGCAGGAAUAUUGGAAAUUGCAUUCUUUGUUAACAACUUCAUACUUGCUUCAAGCUACCCUCAUUUGAAAUAUAAUUUUCAGACUCCAUCAUGCAUGCUCACAUCCUAGUGGACAGUUUUGUUCGAUUCAGAUUUUGUUGAUAUCUGGCGUUUGUUUCUUUGUUUUUUCAUUCUUUUGUGUUAGCCCAUCCUUUUUCUUUCAGUUUAUGUAUAGAAUGCCCUCAUCAUGAAAUGAUCGACCUAUAUGUUUACAAAUAUUUAACAUUGGAGUGAAUUUGAAUAAUAAUGAAAUUAUAUUUAUGGUGAUGACCAUACAGUUUGUGUUCUCAAUAAAUGAUAAAAUUU